AUUGAACGCUGGCGGAAUGCUUUACACAUGCAAGUCGAACGGCAGCACGGACUUCGGUCUGGUGGCGAGUGGCGAACGGGUGAGUAAUGCAUCGGAACGUAUCCAAUAAUGGGGGAUAACUAAUCGAAAGGUUGGCUAAUACCGCAUACGCCCUACGGGGGAAAGCAGGGGAUCUUCGGACCUUGCGUUAAUGGAGCGGCUGAUAUCUGAUUAGCUAGUUGGUGAGGUAAAGGCUCACCAAGGCGACGAUCAGUAGCUGGUCUGAGAGGACGACCAGCCACACUGGAACUGAGACACGGUCCAGACUCCUACGGGAGGCAGCAGUGGGGAAUUUUGGACAAUGGGCGCAAGCCUGAUCCAGCCAUUCCGCGUGAGUGAAGAAGGCCUUCGGGUUGUAAAGCUCUUUCGCAAGGGAAGAAAACUUACUUUCUAAUAAAGAGUGAGGUUGACGGUACCUUGAUAAGAAGCACCGGCUAACUACGUGCCAGCCGCCGCGGUAA
rnacentral:rRNA from 1 species